UAAAGCAAACAGAAUAGUGUUAAUGGUUGCAGUACUCUUCUUUCAAAGACUGUAAGGAAGGGGAAUAUUUCUUUUGGACCUGGAGGGUGUGUUAGGGUGAAUGUGUUCAUGCUUAUAGGACUUGCUGAAUACAGGAUUCUGAGUGAAUAGAGAUGCCUAUGAUCUCUGUAAUGAGAUGGAGAGAAAGAUUGAGAGAGGCCGGAAAAGACAAUGAUUAAUGAAGAAAUUACACUACCUAGUGCCCGUAACAGGAGUCCCUUUUGGCUUAUCUUAAGGGUGGGAGUGGUUGAAAGGAUUUGUGCGAAUACUUGACAACAAAAGGAAAUUAAAUUUGAACCAUUGUAUUCUUAGUAUGGCAUAACAUCUGCCAGAGACCAUGUUUUACUACCUUCUCCCCUCACAAAAGAAAAAAAGAAGAAAAUCCUUUCUCAGUCUCUCUUCAUUUGGUCCAUUUUAUUCCCCAUCCCUAGGCUUUCCCUCAUCUGUGCAAAUCAUUCACAUUGAUAUGUCCAAUAUAUAUGCCCUAAACUGACCUGUUCUUAUAAUACAUCCAUAACGGUGUUUGUUUUGUCUUGCUGUUUUUAAACGAAAAUGCCAAUACGACCAGAUCUCCAGCAGUUGGAAAAAUGCAUUGAUGAUGCUUUAAGAAAACAUGAUUUUAAACCUUUGAAAACCCUUUUACAAAUUGAUAUUUGUGAAGAUGUGAAGAUUAAAUGUAGCAAACAGUUUUUGCAGAAGUUGGAUGACCUUUUAUGCAGGGAACUUAAUAAAAAGGAUAUAAAAAAUGUUUCAGUCAUUUUGGUUUCUAUUGGAAGAUGUGCCAAAAAUAUCAAUAUAUUGGGGCAAGCUGGACUUCUAACUAUGAUAAAACAAGGACUAGUCCA